CCAUUCCACUUAGUAGACUAUAGACCUUGACCAUUAACAGGAGCAAUUGGAGCAAUAGUCCUAGUAUCAGGACUAGCAAAAUGAUUCCACCUAUUUAAUAUUAACUUAUUCAUAAUUGGAUUUGGAAUUACCCUACUAACUAUAAUUCAAUGAUGACGAGAUGUAGUACGAGAAGGAACAUAUCAAGGAUUACAUACAGGAUUUGUAUCAAUUGGAUUACGAUGAGGAAUAAUUUUAUUUAUUGCAUCAGAGGUAUUAUUUUUCGUUUCUUUUUUUUUGAGCAUUCUUUAGAAGAAGAUUAGCACCAACAAUUGAACUAGGAAUACUAUGACCUCCAAUAGGAAUUCAACCCUUUAACCCUAUACAAAUUCCAUUACUUAAUACAGCUAUUCUUUUAGCAUCAGGAGUAACAGUAACAUGAGCACAUCAUAGUUUAAUGGAAUCUAAUCAUACUCAAGCACUACAAGGAUUAUUCUUCACAGUGUUAUUAGGACUAUACUUUACAAUACUUCAAGCAUAUGAAUAUUGAGAAGCACCUUUUACCAUUGCAGAUGCAGUUUAUGGAUCAACAUUCUUUGUUGCAACAGGAUUCCAUGGUUUACACGUAAUUAUUGGAACAAUCUUUUUAUCAACAUGUCUACUUCGACACUCAAUAAAUCAAUUUUCACCAAGACAUCACUUUGGAUUUGAAGCAGCAGCAUGAUACUGACACUUCGUAGACGUAGUAUGAUUAUUCUUAUAUAUCUCUAUUUAUUGAUGAGGUAGAUAAUU